rnacentral:rRNA from 1 species
UACAGAGGGGGCAAGCGUUAUUCGGAAUUAUUGGGCGUAAAGGGCGCGUAGGCGGCCGCCUAAGUCAGACGUGAAAUCCCUCGGCUCAACCGGGGAACUGCGUCUGAUACUGGGUGGCUUGAAUCCGGGAGAGGGAUGCGGAAUUCCAGGUGUAGCGGUGAAAUGCGUAGAUAUCUGGAGGAACACCGGUGGCGAAGGCGGCAUCCUGGACCGGCAUUGACGCUGAGGCGCGAAAGCCAGGGGAGCAAACGGG